AACGAACGCUGGCGGCAGGCCUAACACAUGCAAGUCGAGCGCGCCCUGCGGGUUCAGCGGCGGACGGGUGAGUAACGGGUGGGAACGGUCACUUCUCUGCGGAAUAGCCUUGGGAAAGGGAGAGUAAUACGGCACACGUCCUAUGGGGGAAAGUUUUAUCGGAGAAGGAUCGGCCCGCGUUGGAUUAGGUAGUGGGUGGGGUAAUGGCCCACCAAGCCGACGAUCCAUAGCUGGUUCGGGAGCAGGAUCAGCCACACUGGGACUGGGACACGGCCCAGACUCCUACGGAAGGCAGCAGUGGGGAAUCUUAGACAAUGGGGGCAACCCUGAUCUAGCCAUGCCGCGUGAGUGAUGAAGGCCUUAGGAUUGUAAAGCUCUUUCAGCUGGGAAGAUAAUGACGGUACCAGCAGAAGAAGCCCCGGCUAACUCCGUG
rnacentral:rRNA from 1 species